ACCCGCUGAGUUUAAGCAUAUCAA
rnacentral:rRNA from 5 species